UGUGGCGAAAGUGAUGAAUCGAUUAGAUGUGUCAAGCGGCCUAUGGCUGUUGAUGGACUUAAACCUUUGAGGCAUAUACAUUCAUUCCUGAUCUGCCAGUA
rfam:Selaginella moellendorffii unplaced genomic scaffold SELMOscaffold_11, whole genome shotgun sequence.